UCGAGAAUCUUCCGCAAUGGACGAAAGUCUGACGGAGCGACGCCGCGUGCGGGAUGAAGGCCUUCGGGUUGUAAACCGCUGUCAGAGGGGAACAAAUCACAGGGGGUCAUCCUCCUGCGUUGAGUGAUCCUCAGAGGAAGUACGGGCUAAGUUCGUGCCAGCAGCCGCGGUAACACGAACCGUACGAACGUUAUUCGGAAUCACUGGGCUUAAAGAGUGCGUAGGCGGCCUAGCAGGUUGGGUGUGAAAGCCCUCGGCUCAACCGAGGAAUUGCGCUCAAAACCGCUAGGCUUGAGUGAGAUAGGGGAAAGCGGAACUGAUGGUGGAGCGGUGAAAUGCGUUGAUAUCAUCAGGAACACCGGUGGCGAAGGCGGCUUUCUGGGUCUCUACUGACGCUGAGGCACGAAAGCUAGGGGAGCGAACGGG
rnacentral:rRNA from 1 species